UAAAAUUAAAAAAAUCCUCCAAAUCUCAAAUCGUUACAAAUUUAGUUCUUAGCUACUACCGAACCUUGCAACUCCAAUUAAUUCAAUAUGUCACCUCUUCCAAUCAACUUAAUUAUUUAUCUUCAUUUUUAAAUUUAUAGGACAUAUUUAUAAAACAAAUUCAAAGAGUAAAUUCAAAAAAAUGACAAGAAAAUCAACCAAGAUCAAACAGAUCAAUUCUUUUUCAAAGCUAUUGGAAUAGAAAGUAAAUCUAUUGAUUACUAAAAAAUGAAAAGAUAUAGAAAGAGACGGAUCUCAAUCAAAAAAGAAACGUUACAGAACAAGAGGCGCAAACGGGACACCUCGAAGAAUCAGAAAGUUCACCGGAAACUUUGCUUGUUUUGAGAAACUAACCAGAUUUGAAUCACUUUGGGAGUUUAAUAAAGAAGAAGCAAAUAAAGAUUUGUUGAGCUGCUUGAGCAGCCAGAAAAAUCGAUCACAAUCUCACACCAGGCUGCCGCUAGCGGCGGUUCUUUGUAUAAGAGAGGUGGACAACUGCGGGAGGGGGUAAGUUGUGCGGCAACUGCUUUUGGUUUGAGAUACAGACACGAUCGAAGGGUUUUGAAGCUCAGCUGCUACUAUUUUUUCCGGCGACUUUAGCGAUGAGGGACGAUGGUGGGGUGGCGUUGAGGCUGGCGGCGGCGACGACGUGCGCUGAAGGUGAUGGCUGCUUGUGUAUAGGUUUUAACUUGUUUCAUUGUUGAAGAUGGGAUGGUCGUUGUGGUUUGUCCAGAAAUGGAGGUUGGUUGUUGUGAUGGAGGAGGGUUAAGGUUGCUGAUGGAAUUUUCUCAUUGUCCCUAACGUUAGGUUUUUCUAAAGAUGAGCUUUUAGGUUAGUGGGCUAAGAAAAAAUUUCAAAAA
rnacentral:lncRNA from 1 species